UAAUUGAUUUUCAUGGUACUUUGACUCUACUUCAUCAGGUCUGUGAGCUGGGCUUGAUCUUCAAUUUCCAUAAGGCUUAUUAUAUAUUGGAUGAGCUUUUAAUUGCUGGUGAACUUCAGGAGUCUAGCAAGAAAACAGUAGCACGUCUGAUUGCUGCACAGGAUUCUUUAGUGGAGGCUGCUAAAGAGCAGGCCAGUUCAAUUAGCAAUAUGAUCGCACAGGCAACCAAAUGAGAGAGUACAGUAAAAGUUGCGAUUAU